CAAGAAGUAGUUUAAUUAGAAUUUCAGCUUUGGGUGUUGAUGGUAGGGAGUGAUUCCUUCUUCUUGA
rnacentral:tRNA from 1 species